GGCAGGGUCUUUCCAAGGCGCCUGCGCUAAACCGGCUUCUCGGCGCCAUUUUGUCUGAGCGGUGGUGGUCGCAGCUCUAUCGCAUUUUAUGUUUCUGGCGAGAGGAGAGCCGGGGCGUUUUCCUGUAGCUUCAUUUUAGUGCGGCACCUGUCCGCCGUUCACUCCGGGACAGCACCUUCUGAAGGUUGGAGGAGUCGGGGACGUGUCAAAAAGGUCGGUUGGAAGCUGUGGAUGUCCGAGGGACUGGGGGAUGGCGCAGCUUUAGAGGCACCGGCACCGGAAGUGGAAGGGCCGCGCGGCGGCCAUGGCAAAUUGCUCUGAAGAAAACAAGACCUUCAGUGAAAUAUCCUAAGUAUUACUGAGAUCUCUGUAUGAAUAAUGGAAGUAGAAGCAAGUGGAUAGGCUUAUCAUGUAACAAUAUCAGGAAGGAUUAUAAUAAUAAGGUACUGGAGCAGGAGAGGGAUAAGCAGGGUCCAUGCUCACAGGGAGCUAGGUGCAGGGCUUGAUCCCAGGACCCUGAGAAGAUGAUCUGAGCCGAAGGCAGAUGCCUAACCGACUGAGCUUCCCAGGUACCCCGAUGUUCAAAGUCCAGCAGUAUCCUGCUGCCAAACUCAGUGAGUAGAUUACCUUCUUAGGAAAGCAGCAGUUGGAGUGAUACUGGCAUGAGCCCAGUAAAGGUAUUAAAUUUGCUGAUGAAACUUUCCUGGGAAGACAGCAGUGAAGACAAAGAAGUAAUGACAGAUGGAAAACCAAUGAGAAGGCCCAACAGCCAAAAGGUCGAACAGCACUGUAGAGUGUAUACGCAUGUACAUACAUGGCCACUCUGUCUGCAAGAUGCUAUAAGGGGAAGAAACAGAAGAGCUUAUCAGCAAAUUUCUACUACUGUUCAAAAGGGCUCCUCAACAUAUUAUCAACUUACUUUUAAUGGAAUGUUAUAGCCAAAAUUAGAUCUAAAGUUGGAAGCUUCUUCUCUUGCAAUGUCUGCUAACGAACGAGCAUCUGCCAACAAACCCGCUACUGCCUGGAAGAAAGUACGUACCAUUAGUAGAUAAAUACAUUCCUAUCACAAAUCAAGGAAAGUGUGUAAUUACUGUAGGCUUAAUAUUUUAACAAGCAUCACCACUAAAAAUAAUUUGACUUAAAGCUCUUUAUAAGGCAUUCUGGCGUUCUGAUUGGGUGGGAUCAAAAUAAAAGUAUGGAAUUAAAAUUCAGAAAUUUACCAAGUGUGAUUUCAUUGUUUGCUGAAUGAUGACAUUUACAAGGAAUAUUUCUAUAAUUAAUCCUUCAUGUAUCCCAGUUUACCAAUUCACUAUAAAUAGGCAACAACCAGAAUAGAUCAGGACUGAUCUCUAUUUAAAACAGUUCUAUGUUCAAAUUACUGAAAGUUUUGGUCUAAAAGGCACAACCUCAAAUCUUUUUCAGCUUAUUGACUAUUAUAAACUGCGGUGACAAACCAUACAUCUUCCAAGACUGAUAGCUUACAACUACAGUUUCCAAACCAUGUGCUGAGAGAUGCUAGGGCACUACAGUGAACUAGUUACAGAACAUUUGGAAUUUGGGGGAUAGUUGUUGAAGUAGUUCACAGAUUCAACAUUAGAUCAUUCUGUAUUCCUUAUAAUGCCAUUGUAUUGUUGAGCACUUGGGUUGCUAUGAUAAAAAGGUAAGUACCACACAAAAAUGCAUGUGGAACAGGAAAUGGAGGGGAGAGACACACAUAAUCUGAUUCCGAAGUUUAGGAAGUUGUGUAGUGCACAUUAGGAAGUUUGAUUAUUUAAAAAUAAAAAUAUUUUUCUUUAAUUGUAUGUGUAUUUUUUCUCUUACAGCUACUAAGUUUUUAGAACAUAAACACCAAGUUAUUGAGACCUAAAUGCAUAAUCCAAACCAUUCAGUACUUCUUUUGGUGCAGGAAAGCAAUUAAAAAAAAUAUUACUGAAACACUUAGUCCUGGGAAUCAAGAAAGUCCAGAAACCACCUGCUUAGGAAAUUUACAGAAUUUAAAAGUGCAUACUUUGAUAAAAUAGUUAUGAUCGGGCACCUGGGUGGCUCAGUGGGUUAAGCCUCUACCUUUGGCUCAGGUCAUGAUCUGAGAGUCCUGGGAUCGA